AGAUACAGAGGCAGUUUUCAGAAGGAGGGUUGAUGUCACCACUAACAUUUUGCACACAGUGAUGUAAGAGAUUCUUCCUACUCAGAGUCGUAAUUGGGUUGAUGAUCUACAUGAUGGUGAUGGACCAGGACAGCUCCGGACCCCCUGACUGGCAGCUCCAUCCUCAACCUGCCUUCUUGCCCUUCACACAUGUGCAGGUACAGAGGCAGUUUUCAGAAGGGUUGAUGUCACAGCCAACAUUUUGUGAAGGAGAGUUCCACCUACGGUGAACACAGAAACUUGCACGCA